rnacentral:tRNA from 1 species
GGUCCCGUAGCNCAGUUGGAUAGAGCAUCAGAUUUCUAAUCUGAGGGUCGCGCGUUCGAACCGCGCCGGGAUCA